AGACACCCUUCUGGGGCAGGACUUGCUUCAGUGGGGCUUUGGUGCUCACUGAGUCUGCCCCCUGAGUGUGUCCCU
rnacentral:pre_miRNA from 1 species